GGUGGGAUGGCUGAGAGGUCGAAAGCGGCGGUCUUGAAAACCGUUGUGGCGCAAGUCACCGUGGGUUCGAAUCCUACUCCCACCGCCA
rnacentral:tRNA from 1 species